GAUGAAGAACGCAGCGAAAUGCGAUACGUAAUGUGAAUUGCAGAAUUCAGUGAAUCAUCGAGUCUUUGAACGCACAUUGCGCCCCCUGGUAUUCCGGGGGGCAUGCCUGUCCGAGCGUCAUUGCUGCACUCAAGCACGGCUUGUGUGUUGGGCCCCGUCCUCCGAUUCCGGGGGACGGGCCCGAAAGGCAGCGGCGGCACCGCGUCCGGUCCUCGAGCGUAUGGGGCUUUGUCACCCGCUCUGUAGGCCCGGCCGGCGCUUGCCGAUCAACCCAAAUUUUUAUCCAGGUUGACCUCGGAUCAGGUAGGGAUACCCGCUGAACUUAAGCAUAUCAAUAAGCGGAGGA
rnacentral:misc_RNA from 1 species